GACGAACGCUGGCGGCGUGGAUUAGGCAUGCAAGUCGAACGGUAUCAUCCUUUCGGGGGUGAGAGAGUGGCGAACUGGUGAGUAACACGUAGGUUAUCUACCCUCAAGACGGGGACAACCCAGGGAAACUUGGGCUAAUACCGGAUGUGAGCAACUUUUAGUUGUUUGAAAGGUGGCGUAAGCUGUCGCUUGGGGAUGAGCCUGCGUCCUAUUAGUUAGUUGGUGAGGUAACGGCUCACCUAGGCAACGAUAGGUAGGCGGCCUUAACGGGUGGUCGCCCACACUGGGAUUGAGAUACGGCCCAGACUCCUACGGGAGGCAGCAGUCGAGAAUAGUCUACAAUGGUCGGAAGACUGAUAGUGCGACGCCGCGUGAACGAUGAAUCCCUUCGGGUGUAAAGUUCUUUUAUAUGUGAGCAGUGCUUCUUAUAUUAACAGUAUGGGGAGAGAGAUAUUAGCAUAUGAAUAAGCAACGGCUAACUCCGUGCCAGCAGCCGCGGUAAUCU
rnacentral:rRNA from 1 species